GUCGCGCCCUUCCAUGCCUUAGCUGGGUCAACUUGCGGAAGACACGCAACAGGCCGUGCCGGUGCAGCGCGUGGGACGCGGGUCAGGCUGAGAAGUGCAGCUCUGGAGGGCUGGGGCCUAACUGGUGAGCCGGGUGGCUGAGGGCUGGGGACCUGGCCACGUGCACCGCCGGACUGGUGGCGGGCGGCACACGCCGGCGAGCUAGAGCCAGGCUGCGCGCGCAGACGGGGAGGGGCAGGGACCACGGUCGCGGACUGAGGAGGGGCGCGGGGACUGUCGCCCAGCUCGGGACUUGGAGCGUAGGUUGCCUUUUUAUCUCCACGUGAGGAAGACUGCCUGUCUGCCUGCCUGCCUCCAGGAUGUCCAACAAGUGACUAAACAGGUUUCAGGAAGUCUACCAGCGGUCAUGAUCUGAACUUCCGGCGCCGGGAGUUGGGUUUCACCAGCUCCUUUUUAAUACCUGGAUGCCUCUGAACUUUUGGGCUGCAUCUUUCGUGACCUCAUGGACCCCCCGAAUACACAUAAUUCGUAUUCUGUUUAUAUAAAGCUGCAAAAAAACAUAACUGCCAUUCAGUGAGACAUCUCUGAAUUAAUGAAAACUUUUCUGGGUGCUGAAGACAAUUGCUUUCAGUUAGCCUGGUGAUUUUCUUACAAGCAAUAUAUAAUUAAAAAGUAUUUCACCACUUU
rnacentral:lncRNA from 1 species